GAUGAACGCUGGCGGCGUGCUAAUACAUGCAAGUCGAGCGAGAAGCUUGGAAAUGACGCUUCGGUUGAUUUUCCAAGCGGACAGCGGCGGACGGGUGAGUAACGCGUAGGCAACCUGCCCCUGACAGAGGGAUAGCCAUUGGAAACGAUGAUUAAAACCUCAUGACACCGUAGUAGCACAUGCUACAUCGGUCAAAGAUUUAUCGGUCAGGGAUGGGCCUGCGUCUGAUUAACUGGUUGGUGAGGUAACGGCUCACCAAGGUGACGAUCAGUAGCCGACCUGAGAGGGUGAUCGGCCACAUUGGAACUGAGACACGGUCCAAACUUCUACGGAAGGCAGCAGUAGGGAAUCUUGCACAAUGGGCGAAAGCCUGAUGCAGCAACGCCGCGUGAAGGAUGAAGGCCUUCGGGUUGUAAACUUCUGUUCUAAGGGAAGAAA
rnacentral:rRNA from 1 species